GUAGAGUAAAAUAAUGGUCGUUGAAAUUGAUAAGAGAAUUAUAGUUUUUAUUUCAUUGUGUAUUAUAGACACUGCUUCUGCCUACAAGAAUGAAGAAGACAUCGGAAAAAGCUUGAAAACAUUGUUACCAAAAUAUGGUCUUAAAAGAUCUGACAUAUUCAUAACUAGCAAGCUUGUAAUUGGUGAAGAGAGGACACGUAUUCCUUAAUAGACAAGACGACACUGCUUCUGCCUACAAGAAUGAAGAAGACAUC